UCGCGGCGAAGGCGGAUGGGCAACCAA
rnacentral:sRNA from 1 species